rnacentral:misc_RNA from 1 species
UGCUGAAACUGAGAUGUCUUGUCAGCUGAAACAUUCUGGUAACUCUCAUCCAUUGUAUGGCUGGCAUACCACUGAUUAACACCUCUGCAAAGGUCAAUCAGAAGAGCGCACAGUGAAAAUGCACCACGUUAUGUCCGAGUCUAAGAAUCUUCCAAGAUAUGCUCCAAGUAACACCUCCGGUGUGAAUUCCUCUUGUUUUGGAGACAAAUCGAUUCGGCUUCCCCUGGAAUUCCGAAUUAAAUUUAAUUUGGGAGGAGUAAGAAGGGGCAAGCCCCAGAGAAAAGAGAGAAACGCAGAAGGAAACGGGCCUCUUAGGAAUUCGCAUCGUGGAAUUAUAUAGGCAUAUCGGGAUUGCUAGAUGAUGACAAGAAGAAGAAGAAGAAGAAA